AUGGCUCAGGGUGAUGGAGUUCCACCUGCUAACCGCUCCCAUAGCUGAUUCACAUAGCUUUGGCAGCUGAUGACUCCUGUGUAUUG
rnacentral:ncRNA from 1 species